rnacentral:rRNA from 1 species
CGGCAGGCUUAACACAUGCAAGUCGAGGGGUAACAGGGAUUGCUUGCAAUCCGCUGACGACCGGCGCACGGGUGCGUAACGCGUAUGCAACCUACCUUCUACAGGGGAAUAGUCAAUAGAAAUGUUGAAUAAUACCCCAUACGAUCUUUGAAUAGCAUUAUUUAGAGAAGAAAGUUCCGGCGGUAGAAGAUGGGCAUGCGUCCUAUUAGUUAGUUGGAGAGGUAACGGCUCCCCAAGACAUCGAUAGGUAGGGGUCCUGAGAGGGAGACCCCCCACACUGGUACUGAGACACGGACCAGACUCCUACGGGAGGCAGCAGUGAGGAAUAUUGGACAAUGGAGGCAACUCUGAUCCAGCCAUGCCGCGUGCAGGAAGACUGCCCUAUGGGUUGUAAACUGCUUUUAUACAGGAAGAAAUGUACCUACGUGUAGGUAUUUGACGGUACUGUACGAAUAAGGAUCGGC